rnacentral:rRNA from 1 species
GUGGGGAAUUUUGCGCAAUGGGGGAAACCCUGACGCAGCGACGCCGCGUGGAGGACGAAGGCCUUCGGGUUGUAAACUCCUUUUAUAGGGGAAGAUAGUGACGGUACCCUAUGAAUAAGCCACGGCUAACUCUGUGCCAGCAGCCGCGGUAAGACAGAGGUGGCAAGCGUUGUUCGGAAUUACUGGGCUUAAAGGGCGCGUAGGCGGCAGUGUAAGUCUGGUGUGGAAGCCCGCGGCCUAACCGCGGAAGAGCAUUGGAAACUGCGUUGCUUGAGUCAGCGAGGGGAGGGCGGAAUUCCCGGUGUAGCAGUGAAAUGCGUAGAUAUCGGGAGGAAGGCCGGUGGCGAAGGCGGCCCUCUGGCGCUUGACUGACGCUGAGGCGCGAAAGCGUGGGGAGCAAACAGGAUUAGAAACCCGUGUAGUCC